AAAAUUUAAAAUUAAAAUACUAAAAUAGUAUAUAAAUAUUUAUUGAAACUUAAAUAAUUUGGCGGUAUUUUAGUUCAUUUAGAGGAAUCUGUUUAAUAAUUGAUAUUCCACGAAUAAAUUUACUUAAUUUAUAAUUUUGUAUAUCGUUGUUGAAAAAAUAUUUUUUAAUAAAAUUAAUAUUUUAAAAUUAAUAUUUGUAAAUUUAAAUCAGAUCAAGAUGCAGAUUAUAAUUAAGAAUAUAAUGGAUUACAAUAAAUUUAUUUAAAUGAAUUUUAUUUUUUAAAAAUUAAUUGAAGGUGGAUUUAAAUGUAAUUUUAUUUAAUUUAAUAAAAUGAUUAAAAAUUAAAAUAUGU
rnacentral:rRNA from 1 species